GACGAACGCUGGCGGCGUGCUUAACACAUGCAAGUCGAACGGAAAGGCCCUGCUUUUGUGGGGUGCUCGAGUGGCGAACGGGUGAGUAACACGUGAGUAACCUGCCCUUGACUUUGGGAUAACUUCAGGAAACUGGGGCUAAUACCGGAUUGGAGCUCCUGCUGCAUGGGGGGGGUUGGAAAGUUUCGGCGGUUGGGGAUGGACUCGCGGGUUAUCAGCUUGUUGGUGGGGUAGUGGCUUACCAAGGCUUUGACGGGUAGCCGGCCUGAGAGGGUGGCCGGCCACAUUGGGACUGAGAUACGGCCCAGACUCCUACGGGAGGCAGCAGUGGGGAAUCUUGCACAAUGGGCGGAAGCCUGAUGCAGCAACGCCGCGUGCGGGAUGACGGCCUUCGGGUUGUAAACCGCUUUCGCCUGUGACGAAGCGUGAGUGACGGUAAUGGGUAAAGAAGCACCGGCUAACUACGUG
rnacentral:rRNA from 1 species